UGACCUCGGAUCAGGUAGGAAUACCCGCUGAACUUAAGCAUAUCAAUAAGCGGAGGAAAGAAACCAACAGGGAUUGCCCUAGUAACGGCGAGUGAAGCGGCAACAGCUCAAAUUUGAAAUCUGGCUUCGGCCCGAGUUGUAAUUUGUAGAGGAAGCUUUUGGUGAGGCACCUUCUGAGUCCCCUGGAACGGGGGCGCCAUAGAGGGUGAGAGCCCCGUAUAGUCGGAUGCCGAUCCAAUGUAAAGCUCCUUCGACGAGUCGAGUAGUUUGGGAAUGCUGCUCAAAAUGGGAGGUAAAUUUCUUCUAAAGCUAAAUACCGGCCAGAGACCGAUAGCGCACAAGUAGAGUGAUCGAAAGAUGAAAAGCACUUUGAAAAGAGGGUUAAAUAGCACGUGAAAUUGUUGAAAGGGAAGCGUUUGUGACCAGACUUGCGCCGUUCCGAUCAUCCGGUGUUCUCACCGGUGCACUCGGGGCGGCUCAGGCCAGCAUCGGUUUUGGCGGGGGGAUAAAGGUCCGGGGAACGUAGCUCCUCCGGGAGUGUUAUAGCCCCGGGCGUAAUGCCCUCGCCGGGACCGAGGUUCGCGCAUCUGCAAGGAUGCUGGCGUAAUGGUCAUCAACGACCCGUCUUGAAACACGGACCAAGGAGUCAAGGUUUUGCGCGAGUGUUUGGGUGUAAAACCCGCACGCGUAAUGAAAGUGAACGUAGGUGAGAGCUUCGGCGCAUCAUCGACCGAUCCUGAUGUAUUCGGAUGGAUUUGAGUAAGAGCGUUAAGCCUUGGACCCGAAAGAUGGUGAACUAUGCUUGGAUAGGGUGAAGCCAGAGGAAACUCUGGUGGAGGCUCGCAGCGGUUCUGACGUGCAAAUCGAUCGUCAAAUCUGAGCAUGGGGGCGAAAGACUAAUCGAACCAUCUAGUAGCUGGUUACCGCCGAAGUUUCCCUCAGGAUAGCAGUGUUGUUCUUCAGUUUUAUGAGGUAAAGCGAAUGAUUAGGAACUCGGGGCGCUUUUAGCCUUCAUCCAUUCUCAAACUUUAAAUAUGUAAGAAGCCCUUGUUACUUAAUUGAACGUGGGCAUUCGA
rnacentral:ncRNA from 1 species